GAGAGUGGAAUUCCACGUGUAGCGGUGAAAUGCGUAGAGAUGUGGAGGAACACCAGUGGCGAAGGCGACUCUCUGGUCUGUAACCGACGCUGAGGAGCGAAAGCGUGGGGAGCGAACAGGAUUAGAUACCCUGGUAGUCCACGCCGUAAACGAUGAGUGCUAAGUGUUAGGGGGUUUCCGCCCCUUAGUGCUGCAGCUAACGCAUUAAGCACUCCGCCUGGGGAGUACGGUCGCAAGACUGAAACUCAAAGGAAUUGACGGGGGCCCGCACAAGCGGUGGAGCAUGUGGUUUAAUUCGAAGCAACGCGAAGAACCUUACCAGGUCUUGACAUCCUCUGACAAUCCUAGAGAUAGGACGUCCCCUUCGGGGGCA
rnacentral:rRNA from 1 species